rnacentral:tRNA from 1 species
GCGCCUGUAGCUCAAUUGGACAGAGCGUCAGCCUCCGGAGCUGAAGGUUGCAGGUUCGAUCCCUGCCAGGCGCACCA